AGGAGGAACAGCACGGGCUCUGUCUGGUCUGGAGAGCACUUGGCUGCAAGGUUCAGAAGUAAAUUACUACAAAAAUGCAGACGGAACCUGCGAUGUUUGGCUCGGCAUUAUUCAUCCGGCAAUCUGGGAGCUGCAGAUCAGUGUGUGAGAGACAGCAGCUAAAAUAUGGGGCUGCUCCAGCCUCUUCUGCGCCGGUGUAAAUCAAGAGUAACUCUCAGCAAAACCAAUGGAGCGUAAAAUUGGUAUUACAUUAGCCAUUUGUAUUAUGCAAAUAAUGAAAAUGGCAAAAACAUCAUGAAUCAACCCAAGAAAUUUUUUGAGGAAGCUGGGUAAGUUCUCAGCUUUGUAAUUAGAGUUACUUCAGAUUUGCAGAGGAUAUAAAGAACUGAAUUUGGUAGAAAAAGGGUGAAUUUUUGUUUGACCAGUAAGUUUGGAAAUAGUUUAAAAACUCUGCUGGAAGUUGGAACAGCAUGGUUUUGAAGGUCCCUUCCACCUUUUUCACAUAGCAGCUAUAAUUUACAGAUCACAGAGCACUUAUUGCUCCUAAAAGAUCAGGAAACAAGAAAGGAAAUUCAUAUUCUCUCAGUGCUCAGGCUGGAGCUGUGCCCACUUUUUCUGUCCCUGUCCCUAAAUCCAUCCUGAACAUUCAGUUGAGGUUCUAACAGUGGGGCUGAAAUAGGGUAAUUCCUGGAGUACAAACUUUCCCGCUUCUGGCUGCUAACCAGCCUCUAGUUCCCAGCAGAAAGGAGGGAUAUUUCCGCGGGAGCACACUCUCCUGCCGGCUGGAGACCCUGGCAGUGCGUUUUCCCAGGUUUUGUUCUGGUCUCUGCCACAGAGAGGACAGGACGUGGAGGGAGAUCUGCCACUUGGCAAUUCCUGUGCUCUGGAAAACAGAUCCAGAGCAGUGUUUCCAGCUGGAAAACAGCUGCACUGUGAGUUCAGGGAUCCCCUGGCAGGAUCCAGAUCCACUCACAGAGAAGGGGACAGGAUGGGGACAGAGCCCUGCCUCGCUGGCACCCUCAGCAUCCAAUGGGACCUGCUGUGGACACAGGGCACUGUGGAUUUAAUUAGCACAGCCAAUUUGAUAACCAAGAUGCCUUGGCAAGAACAAACAGCUUUGAAGGUUACAAGAAGAUUGGAACAAGUCUGGCGACAGGAAAAGAAGAUCGAAUCAAUCUCUGCAAGAGAGAGAUGUUGCAAAAUGUCUCGACGUGACAGAUGCUCGUUCGUUCUGCCACCUCCUGCAGGGUGACCCCCUCCUCGACAUCCCAGGGACGGCCCUGCCCGAGGGUGGCUCUGAUUUCCACAGCACCCCCAAACCAGCCGCCUCAAGGAGCUUUGGAUCCUCCCGGUUCCCCCCCCGGAAUCUGGGAAGAGCCAAGCUGGCUUCAGCCCCCAAGUUCAAAAACGGAUUUAUGAAGCGGCGUGUGCCGAGUGCUACCAGGAACGUGCUCCUCUGCUGCCACUUCUCUGACCACGGAUAACAGGAGAGGAUCCCUGUUGCGGCAGCAAACCAGGAAUGCGGAAUGAUGACACAGGAUUUAGCCAGGAGCCCCUCAAAAGACAAAAUUAGAGGUGUACCAGCUAAAAUCACGGAGAUGGAGGGGCUGGGUGUCCUCGUUUUGGAGGUGCUUGGGCAGCUUUAAUGGAGGAGGGCUGUGGUGGUUUUUGACACGUGCUAUAAUGGUGUGCGUCACGGUCUUCAUCUUUUCAUAGGGACGUGGCUAAUUUCUGAUGGCAUGUGUCACAUUGCAUAUGUCGGUGAAAUGUAGGUCACAGCCUAAAAAUAUGCACGAUAUUAACAACAUCUCUACGAUAACGAUUGCAUAGAUGUCCCUUAUCGCAGCAGCCGGGACUGAUCAGAAAUGUGACUCCGGGAAAAUGGUUUUUUUACAAGCCCCGUCUUUAGAAGAUGGUGGUGAAAAGCGAGGCUUUGGCGGGGCUGCUGCUGAGGAGAAGGAGGGAUUCUGUCUCUCUGGAGACAUUCCUGGAGGUGGUGCCUCUUCCCGUGGCAGAAAGCUGAGGAAUGCUGAUCUGUUCAUGCGGCAGUCGCUGAUUUAUGCGCUUUGGCAAAGGCUGGAAACAGCUCCUGGAGGGGGAAGGGUGAUGGGAGAGCCCUGUUUGAGGCUAUCCUUGGAAAAAGGCUGCUGGGCAUUCUCCUGCCCUCCUGCCACCCAAGGGCUCACUGAUGGCAUUCUUCUUCUGCAGGGAGCAGCGCUGGUGAUAAGGAGCCACUCUCCAGGCCCUGCAGUUCUGUGACAGAGCCAGAGCUGCUGGAGAGGCAGCAGCUGAGCGAGCAUCCCUGGGAUUGUUGUCCUCUUACUUUUGCUUUCCUGACAGUGACCAAGUACCUCCAAGUGAGCCUUACAGCGCCCAGUCCAGGUUCUUCCAAUGUUCCAAUUCCAUGCUUUCCAUCAAAAGCCCAGUCUGAGCAGCACAUCGUGACCUUGAGGCUUUUUCCUUUGGAAAAAAAAAAAAAAAAUUGACAGAAGCAAUAAAUGAAUCUAAAAGACUCAUCAGACAGAAGUAAAUUAAGUUAUGGGCAGGAUGAUGGCCACACAUCUUUUAAUAAGGCAUCAUCUUAUAUCCUCAUUAGAGAAAGUUCGUGUUUACGUCUCUUUUGCCAGCUAGAAAACAAGGUCAUGAUGCUUUUCCAGCAUUUGAAUGCUGCUCUGAUCUUCCACAGCUGCUUUUAUUGUAAUCAAAUAGAACUUCUCCAGUAGCUGCCAGGUCAGGCUGUGGGGCUGGCGUGAGCUGAGCGAUGCUGUCAGCACGUGUGGGAUGGAAGUGGGAGCGCAGCUUGCUUUUCCUGGCGAAGGAGAAUUAGAUACCCUAAUGGACUCACGAGUGUUACCGAGAAAUGAAUAUGAAAAAUAGAUAAAGUCAGCUCUAAAAGCCAGGUGAUUGAGAUAUAGAGAGGGAGAGACAGACAGGAUGGGUGCGUGUCCAGUGCAGCCAAGCUUUGAGUGAGGGAAACAUGAGAAGAGAUUGGAUGGAAAACCAUUUCAUCCCAGUCAGAGCCCGUCUAACGCCACUUUAAUUUGAUGGUCAACAACUGGAAAUGAAAUGGGAGCCUUGCAAACAGCUGAGCUUCCAAAGGGCUUCUACAAUUUCACCUUGAUUCCAUCAGAAAUGAGGCAUCAGGGAGGAUAAGAAUGUUCAUCUCAGCCAAGACACUUCCUGAACUUGUUUAUUUUACUCCAAAAUAACUUUUUAGGUCACAAAUCCCUUAAAUCACAGCCCUUCUCAUGUCUGACCUGCUUCUGCCUGUGCCUGCACCACCUCAGGUCUGGCCAACACCUCCUGCUUUGCUCCUGCUGGUAAUUUUUCCAGGUGUUCCAGGGAUUAGGCUUUGCUCUCCCAGCCCCCAGCUCCAGCAGAGAUGCUCCAGCAUUCCCUCCCUGCUCCCUCCUCCUCUGCCAGCUCCUCCUGUGGAAAAAGCCCAUUUUUCCACGAGUGUUUGCAAGCUUUUGAGAGGGGAAUUUGCUGGCUGAGGACAGCUGCUCUGAAGGCAAUCAGAAUCCACGGCAUUUGUGGGAAAUAACCUCGAUAAUCCCACCUCAAAUGAAGACGUCACUACGAACAGCCCAUGAGAAUGCUGAGCCACAGGAAGCACGACAAGAGAUAAUUCCCAAUCCAGCCAAGCACCUCUCCACCUUCCCUGAAGUUCAGGAAAAAGAGCUGUAAGGUCACCUCUCCUGAGCACACAACCCUUGCUUCGCUCUGUCCCAGCCUCAGUUUUACACCACUUAUGAGAGAACUUUUAGUUCAGCUUGGGAGACAACAAUUAUUAACCAGCUAAUCAUGAAGAGACAGAAAAUACCUGCGCUGUGGGCAAACAAAAAGUGUCCUCUUCAGUCCGGUUUCUACAGGAAAAAUGUCCCAGUGCCACCGUGGGAAGGAAAGCAAUAGAUCACUGCUGAGAAAUCAGUCACAACUUAUAAAACAUUUCAUUGAUGUUAUGGAAUUCUGGUUUAACUGACGGUAUUGGUAGAUUUUCCCCUUAAAGGCCAGAUGAUUUCAAGAGGAAAAUGCUGAAGACACUGGGUUUAAAUAUUUUCUAGGGUUUGGAGGAGUGACAUGAAGGAUGUCUUGUUUCUACUACAUAAAGUUAUCCAUGAUCAAGACAAAGAUUAAGAAUUCAGGAGUGUGUUUCCUAUCCCUCCGCAAUAUUUUGGGCAUGAUUGAUGCACAUUUUGCAUCAAUCCCACAAAUCACAUUUUGCCUGAAAAGCAGAAUGAAGGACAGACGAUUUCCUGUGUGGAUAUUGCUGUGGGGUUUAUUUGUGUGAGGAGAAGCUGCUGAAAUGUGGAUGGGGUCGUUGGGAUGAUAAAAGAGGAGUGCAGACCACGGCAGGGAGGUGUCGAAAGGAAAAAGCAGGAGCUGGUGGCCCUUUGUGACACACCUGGGACAUCACUGCUGUCCUGCCUCGUUCCUUCUUCACCUGUGGACGAGGCUGAGGGACACCCCAGGACAGCCCUCCUCAUGUUCUGGAACUAUUUGCAGGUUUUAUGUCAGAUAAGCUCUGCCUUAUGUCAAUAAUGUUGAGAUAGAGAGCACUGCCUUAAGGGGCAAAAAAAAAAAAAAAAAUUCAACCACACAACAGCAAAUAAGAAAAAAAAAAUAUGAUGCAGACUAAAAAGCCUGAAAAACAUGAGGUUUUCUUUUACUGUGGAACCAUCAACACAAACAAAGGAAACAAAUUAUUUUUAAAGUUCAGAUAUUGAACUCAGAGAGAAAACCAAAACUGCUUUCCCUGCUGUUCUUUUCAACAUUCGCUUCAUGUUUGAUUUGGAAGUUAGAUUUGUCUCCACUCUAAAAACGUGCCCCACUUUUAUCUUAAGUAUUGCUAUUUCCAAAGGAACAAAGACUGCUCCUUAUCGGCGUCUUCCGGCUGGACUUCCUAAUGCAUUUGAUUUCCAGCUAUUAACCUGGGAGCUCUGUAUUCGCAAUCACUUUGUGGUUUCCCAGACCCUACGGGUUUAGAGAAGUGCAUGGACAUUCUUAUAAAGAUGAUGGCUUUGUUUUGUACUCUGCAGCGUUUGCCGAUAUCCUCCUGGCUCGUGGCUGGAGCCCACCAGGAGAUUGGCUAUCCAAACCCCUGCCCGUCUUCUUGCUCUGCUUGCAUCUCUGUUUCCGCAGAGUUUUGGGUUAUUUUAAAGCAUUUAUAUCACUCUGUUGUCCUCAUGCCAACAGAGAGAGUCACGAGAAGUUAUUAAAACAUGCUGGUGAGUAUAAAAUCAUAAAAUCGUUAAGGUUGGAGGAGAGCUGUAGCAUCACUGAGUCCUUAACCCCUGAAAUAGCCAGAAUUCACUCAAAUCCUUCUGAAAACUGAUUUAGAAGUAAAACCUCUCCCUGAAUAUUCUACUGCCAUGCCUGAAAACUGCUGGACUUAGCGGUGUCACGGUGAGGGUGCUGGUGGGAGUCAGAGCCGUGCCAAGCACCCCCAGGAAGGAGGACUGGGUUGUCAGAAGAGCUGGAUUUGGGGACCGUAAAUCCUGGAGCCAGCCCAGAUCCCAGCUCCCCCUGCUCUCCGCAACACUCCCUCAGUGCUUCUUGUGGAAACUUCAGUUAAGGCUAGAAUAUUUCAAGCAAAAGUUUAUAAAGGCUGCUUUUCUAUCACAGGAUAAUUCAAUACUGUUUCAAACAAUUUGCAAAGUUUACUAAGAACUUUCAAAUCACGUUGCAGCUCUUUCUGUGAACAGGCUGGCCUACAACGAGUGCUGGGCUGUGGGAAGCUGAGAUGGAGAAAGGAGAAUUCUUUCAGCACAUUUCUGCUGCUCUUGGCACCACGUGAAGGACCCUGGGUGGCUGCACACACCUUGCCCUUGGGUUUAUAGCCCGAAGUGGAAAGGGAAACUUCCCUCUGCUCGUUCCCCUGACACCUCCUGGCUUUGUCUCUCCUGGGCCGUGGGAUUUGGGGAGGCAGUGGCAGAUGAAGAAUUCCCCACGCUGGGAGCUGUGCAAGAAUCACCCAGCUACAGGAAACUGCAUCUUUGACCCAAAAUCUUCUCUCUAGACAUCAACCCCCAGCCAAGAGGCAGAUCCUGCGUGGAAGCACAGGGAAGGGUACAGGGAAGUUGAUCAGCAGCACAGCACGUGGGAUGCCUGAGCUGGAGCCUGCUUCCCUCUGCUCUUCUGGAGCGCAACCCACAAACCAAACUGGAGCUCCUGGAGAUCCUCAGCAGCACUAAAUAAAGCUCCCUAACACAUGGAAAAACUCAGCUAAUCCUGCCCUCCCUGGGGGGUUCUGAGAGAGCGUUUCUCCCUCUGUUUUGGCACCUUUCUCUUAUAUUUUUCUGUGUGGGGUUUUUGUAUUUUUUUUUUUUUCUCCCAAGUUUCUCACUGCAAUUCCAUCCGCAGACAAAAUCCCUUUCCUGACAGAGUGGAAGCAUCAGCAGGAAUGAACUGGAAGCUCCUGUUUGUGUCUGUGCUCCAUUCCUGUGAGGAGACACACCUGAACUGAGGCCAAGAUCGGUUCCCCAACAUUUUCAGGUGGGAAGAAAUCCGCUUUCACCUGGUGGUACAGAAAAAUUCCCCCCCCAAAUCCUCCCGGCUGGCUCCCGUGCCUGGCUGGGGACAGCUUCAGCAGCUGCACUGCUGAAAACGCUCUCAGUGUGCUGCUGGAAGAUUAGUGGCCACUUUACCCAGCCUGUGAACUCCAGAUAAAUCCCAGAACAGCAGCAGGAAGAAAGCAACAUAAGCUGCAGCAGAAGGUCUCCGUUUAUUGCAAAUCCGCGUUCUGUGCCUGCUCGAGCGGCUCCAGGGUAACAAACUGCUCUACCUGCCUCUCCAAAUACGCGAGAUCACCAAAGCAGCUGCUGCCCUCACCUCUCUCCAUCGCGUUUGUGCCGCUCUGCUGAUCUGGAGUCGGUUGUGCCCCAAUUAAACCGCUACAUUUGUUAUUCCUGUUUAAUCCCGGCGCUCGUGCGCCGUUUUCUGAUGUGUUGCCUCUGGUGGGGAGGCUGGGUGUGGGGGUUCUGUCACUUUUCAGGGUUUCCAGGUCUUUUAUUCCCAUUACAGGAAGCUGGGAUUGCUGUUUUUAGCAGCUCCACGGGUCCUAUCACCCAGCUGGGACGUGCUGCUGGUGUCAUCGGUCUCUACAUCCAGCCCAGGGGCAGCCCAGCACUUCCCAACACCCCUGGGAUUUUUGGCACAGCCUGGGCAGAAGCUCUGAAGGCAUGAAUUUCCCUGGCCACCCUUUCACCAGAAAGGAAUUCCAGGAGCUGGACUCUGGGGGACUCAUGGAUCCCAUCCAACUCAGGAUAUUUGGUGACUCUGUGAAAGCUUGGCCUGGCUGAGGGUGGAUUUUUGUCCAGGUUUUUAAGGGUGAUGGGUUUCCC